AGCGGUGUAGAUCGAAGAAAGCAGAUAUUGUCUUCAUUUAUUGGCGUGAAGUAGAUCGAAGAUAGCAGGUCUUGUCUUCCUAUAUUGGUAGGAAGUGGAUCGAAGAUGCAGAUCUUGUCUUCAUGUAUUAGCGUGAAGUAGAUCGAAGAUAGCAGAUCCUGUCUUCCUAUAUUGGUAGCGAAGGGGAUCGAAGAUGCAGAUCUUGUCCUUCCCAUACUGGUGGCGAAGUAGAUCGAAGAAAGCAGAUCUUGUCUUCAUGUAUUGGCGUGAAGUAGAUCAAAGAUAGCAGGAAGUGGAUCGAAGAUGUAGAUCUUAUCUUCCCAUACUGGUGGCGAAAUAGAUCGAAGAAAGUAGAUCUUGUCUUCAUGUAUUGGUGUGAAGUAGAUCGAAAAUAGAAGGUCCUGUCUUCCUAUAUUGGUAGGAAGUGGAUCGAAGAUGCAGAUCUUGUCAUCCCAUACUGGUGGCGAAGUAGAUCGAAAACACCAGCCUUGCCUCCCUGGGUUGCAGCGGAGCAGGUUAAAAAUAGCAGAUCUUGCCGUCCUGCACCAACAGCGAAGCAGAUCGAUGACCUCAGCCCU
rnacentral:lncRNA from 1 species